AGUGGAAUUGCUGAGUCAUAUGGUAACUCUAAGUUUUAUUUUGUGAGGAACUGCCAAACUGUUUUCCACAAUGGUUGAACCAUUUUACAUUCCCACUAGCAGU
rnacentral:pre_miRNA from 1 species